GUGAGUGGUGGAGCAGGCGCCGGGCAGGGGAUACCCCCUGCCUGAGGAAGCCCACCCCCAUUGUGGCACCGCAACCCCCUUAUUCUUGGGGGUAGGAUGAGAAUCCUAGCAUAGCACAGAAACGACACCCCUUCCAGUCAGAUGAAGAUGAUGUAGCAUAGGCCUUGCAAAAGGCCGAGCAAGCUAUUGAUGAGGCUGGAAGACUGGUUGCAACGGGCUAGCUUGCGGGGGUAAGGCCAAAAAGGAGCCUAUGAGGGCCACAUGAGGCUCGGGUAGGCCGCUUAGACGAAUCCUGCUGAAAACAAAAGGUGGGCUACCACCACACAC
rnacentral:RNase_P_RNA from 1 species